GUCUUGGUGAUUCUAGCGAAGGGGGUACACCUGAUUCCAUCUCGAACUCAGAAGUUAAGCCCUUCAGCUCCGAUGAUACCUAAUUUAUUGGGGAAAGUAGGUCGUCGCCAAGACA
rnacentral:rRNA from 2 species